rnacentral:rRNA from 1 species
UACGAAGGGGGGCUAGCGUUGUUCGGAAUUACUGGGCGUAAAGCGCACGUAGGCGGAUUUGCCAGUCAGGGGUGAAAUCCCGGGGCUCAACCUCGGAACUGCCUCUGAUACAGCAAGUCUUGAGUCCGGAAGAGGUGGGUGGAAUUCCUAGUGUAGAGGUGAAAUUCGUAGAUAUUAGGAAGAACACCAGUGGCGAAGGCGGCUCACUGGCUCGGUACUGACGCUGAGGUGCGAAAGCGUGGGGAGCAAACAGG